ACGGGUGAGUAACACGUGGGAACGUACCCUUUGGUUCGGAAUAACGCUGGGAAACUAGCGCUAAUACCGGAUACGCCCUUUUGGGGAAAGGCUUGCUGCCGAAGGAUCGGCCCGCGUCUGAUUAGCUAGUUGGUGGGGUAAUGGCCUACCAAGGCGACGAUCAGUAGCUGGUCUGAGAGGAUGAUCAGCCACACUGGGACUGAGACACGGCCCAGACUCCUACGGGAGGCAGCAGUGGGGAAUAUUGGACAAUGGGCGCAAGCCUGAUCCAGCCAUGCCGCGUGAGUGAUGAAGGCCUUAGGGUUGUAAAGCUCUUUUGUCCGGGACGAUAAUGACGGUACCGGAAGAAUAAGCCCCGGCUAACUUCGUGCCAGCAGCCGCGGUAAUACGAGGGGGGCUAGCGUUGCUCGGAAUCACUGGGCGUAAAGGGCGCGUAGGCGGCCAUUCAAGUCGGGGGUGAAAGCCUGUGGCUCAACCACAGAAUUGCCUUCGAUACUGUUUGGCUUGAGUUUGGUAGAGGUUGGUGGAACUGCGAGUGUAGAGGUGAAAUUCGUAGA
rnacentral:rRNA from 1 species